rnacentral:rRNA from 1 species
UACAGAGGUGGCAAGCGUUGUUCGGAAUUACUGGGCGUAAAGCGCGUGUAGGCGGUCAGGCAAGUCGGAUGUGAAAUCCCGUGGCUCAACUACGGAAGUGCACCCGAAACUGCUUGACUUGAGUCCCGGAGAGGAAGGCGGAAUGCUUGGUGUAGAGGUGAAAUUCGUAGAUAUCAAGCGGAACACCGGUGGCGAAGGCGGCCUUCUGGACGAGGACUGACGCUGAGACGCGAAAGCGUGGGGAGCAAAAAGG